AGGCAUUGCAAGUCUGCAAUGCUUAUCCAUGCUGACCCAACCACAAAUGCAGGUCUACAGCCCCCCUGCCAACAUCGGCUGCGAUGUGUACCCGUUGCAUCACCUCUCGAUCAUAGCACCCACUCCCUCCCCUGUAGUCGCAAACCAUUACAAUCAAGUUUGUAGUAUCCUACUGUUAACUUAUGUGAUGGUUCUAAGUUUUGAUUUUAUCGCUAAUUUUUUAUUUUUUUCAGCAAGUCUGACUCUGAACCAUUAAGACCAUUCCAAUGAGUACCACACAUCAGAAGGCAAUGAGGUGCACAAAAGCAGUCGUAAGAGAAGGUCGCGUCAGUUACUUCUGGCAACAUGCCAAAAGUAACAAAUGGGCAACUGCAAUUUUGCUUCCUUGAAGCCUUUUUUGGUCUUUCGAAAGGAAGAUAACCCCACACAACCGGUUUUGUAAGAAGCUCAGCUUUCGUCAUUUGGAAAAAAAUGUUAGGCUGAUGGUUCCAAGUUUAUGCACGAACUCUGUCCUUCAUUACAUUAUGCGCGUGGUGUAGAUUACUUCUAUAUAGUGCAUCAAAGCAUUCUCUAUGAAGACUUCCCAUUUUACUCUUGACUAGCUUUGUUAAAUUUUCAUAAUCUCUACUCGAGUGAAGAUUUGUUUACCCUUGAGGUAGACUACUAUGAUGAGAAAUUGAUAUUUUCGCUGGAUCUUGGUGAGGUACGAUUGCAGUAUCAUUUUUUGCCCAAGUACCACUGGUAGCUAGCAGCCUGAUAGUCAUCUAAAAAGUACAAACACAAACACAUAUUCAUGCCCAAACACGAAUACACACACGUCCAUGACAAUUUCAAUUAGUAGGGACACGGACAAGGCUAUGGGUGUGGUAAAUGUGAAUAUCAGGUCUGCAAAUACCAAAAUUAUU